rnacentral:rRNA from 1 species
GGGAGGAUAUUGCGCAAUGGGGGAAGACCCUGACGCAGCGACGCCGCGUGCGGGAUGAAGGCCUUCGGGUUGUAAACCGCUUUACAGCAGGGACGAAGCGUGAGUGACGGUACCUGCAGAAGAAGCGCCGGCUAACUACGUGCCAGCAGCCGCGGUAACACGUAGGGCGCGAGCGUUGUCCGGAAUUAUUGGGCGUAAAGAGCUCGUAGGCGGCCUGUUGCGUCCGCUGUGAAAGCCCGGGGCUUAACCCCGGGUCUGCAGUGGAUACGGGCAGGCUAGAGGUA